UUUGUUAGUUGAAGUCACGUGACGGGCCGCUGGGGAAUGGGGGCACUUCCUGUUUUACUCCACGGAGACUUGAGACCAGACGCUGUUGUCAGUUUCAACAAAAUGGCUGCUGGAGCGCCACAGACGAAAACCCAGUGAACGCUUCACAUCAGUGCAGUGUCACUUUAAAUGGAUGCAUUGGAAUUUCCCUACCUUCUGAGCGUCGGGACAUUUACUCGCGUGGACUCGUGUACAUACGUAUUAACGAACUAAAGGCAUGCUGAAAUAUUCCCUUUACGCACUUUAUAUAUAUAUCUAUCCAAAAGCAUACAAAAGCUCAAACUGCCAGUGCGCGCGCGUCUGUGUGGGUGUGCGCGUGUGUAGCUGCUCCUAAGGAUCGCCGAGAUGUUACAGCUGAUCAACCUGACGUGCAAAACUGUGGUUUAAUGUCCCUCUCACUGUUUGCACUGGAGCUUUAGAGUUUUUUUCCCUUCUCUCUGGAUAAAUUCCGCUGCAGAUUGAGAGGUGAAUUCCUCAACUGGAAAGUCGGGCUCGCCAUUGCAGCUCAGACUGCGACUGAAUAACAUCUGACCUGUGUCAGGACGGGUAUCGACAACAUCCUCCUCCACCGUGCAGCUCGUGCAUCGCAUUCGAACAGCAGACCGCAGCUGCUCCGUGUGCGAAAUAAAGCCUUGGCACAAAACACGUCACACAAGAGGAGAACCAUUUGAUGGAAGAAAAGAAAAAGAAAAAGCAAGAGGAAAAGAAAAAGAAGGAAGCUGCUCAGAAAAAGGCUGCUGAACAGAAAACCAAAGUGCCAGACUCUGCCAAGCCCAGCCCCACCCCUCCUCCCCCCAUCAACCCCAGCAUCGCCACCAACCCGUCUGUGCCCUUAGCCAGCAGCAGCACUGGUGGCAAUGGAAAGCGCGCACCCUCCGGCAACCAACAGCAGCAGCCGGCAGCCCCUCGCUACCCGCCUCGAGAGGUGCCCCCUCGUUUCCGUCAACACGAACACAAGCAGCUACUGAAGCGGGGCCAACCUCUGCCCGCCGGAAGUACAGCUCUCGUGCAGCCAGUGUCCACCAACCUUACGUCUCAGCCCUUCUCCUGCCAGACCCACCCAGAGCUGCCCCCACAGAGUGGCCUGGCAGCCCAGUAUGAGAAUAUAUCCCCCAAUUGCAGUGCCACUACAGCCUCUACCAACAGCUGCAGCGGCUGGGAUCCACUGAUUAUUGACGAGCGCGAUACGGAGGCGUGGCCUUCCAUUUCAUGCAAAGAAAGCCACGCCCCUGCAGGAUGCCCCUUGGACACUGAAAGUAUCAGUGACAUCAGCAGCAUGAGCAUGGCCACAGGAGCUGGCCAGCAAGGCCAUUUCUCCGCCAAUCACCCCAGCAAAGCCAAUGCCAGCCACUCAGGAGGUCUACUCUCUAGUCAGGGUGGGGCCAGCAGAGGCUGGGGCUCUGGCCCGUCUCCUGCCAGUGGAGGAGAAGGGAAGAAUGAAGUCUCCAGCACAUCAGUGGGAGCCAGGGGUUGGGGCUCUUCUAACUUUAACUUGAACUUGAACCCAAACGCCAACCCUUCUGCCUGGCCAGUUCUGGGACAUAAAGGGGCCGGCAUGGGUGGUGGCAGCUCUGGAGAAAGCAACCUUCCUCCUCCUAAUCUCUGUAGCCCACCGGGCACUCUGCCCAGUCAGGGCCCUAGCAGCAGUGGCAGUAUAGGUGGUGCCAAUGGAAAUUCUGCAGGUAAUGGUGGCAGUGGCAAUGGCAGCACCACAUGGGGUAGCAUUGUGCCCAGUGACUCCUCAGAGCCACACUCCACCCCAUCCACGAAUGUGUCUUUCAGCUCUGAACCUCAGAACCUUAACACUGAUGGACCAAAUCACACUAAGCAAGAGCCCAGAAGUCCUGGCCACAGCCUGCCUAACUGGGGGGUUGGACCUGCAGGCAUGGGCUCGUUUGUUCAAAAUCCAGGAGGAGCCUCACAGGUCAACGGGGAUGAAGAACCUGUUUGGGGUAAUGGAGAUGCCAAGUCUGGUGGUGGCUCAAAAGACUCUGGUUGGGACUCAGGGAGCAGCUGGGGACAAGGAGGGGCCUCGGGCACUUCUGGAUGGGGACAAGCUGCCUCAACUGGAGACUGGGGUAAGCAUUCCAACAGUGAAGCCAAAGGAUGGGAUUCCUCAGGCUCUCCCACCCAAGAGCAGCCGCUAAACUCUUGGGUCCGUGGGGCCAAUGCCCCAGCCAGCGAGGGAAGCAGUGACAGCACAGAAUGUCAUCCUCACCGGAGGGUCCGCUCAUCAUCAGAUGAGGCUCCCCCUGUUCUGCCUGCCCAGGAUAUGGACCCUCGGGUUCUGUGUAACACAGGCUGGGGACAAACACCAGUGCGUCAGCACACCGCUUGGGAGACCGAAGAAGCUGCACGCUCCAACUGUAAGAAUGACAUCGGAACUGAAGCCUGGGGCUCGUCCUCAAAUGCAGCCAAUGUAGGACCAACACCAACUUCUGGCAGUGGCAACCCAAACUCUGGCACUACAUCCAGACCUGAUUCUGGGGGGAAGAAUGAGGGCCCCUGCCCCAGUACUGGAGCUGCACCUGGAUGGGGCACAGCCAUGCCAUCACCCCAAGCUAGCUCUAGUUGGGGAGAUCCUACCAGCAACAAGAAACCUUCCAGUGGUCCUGGAAGCUGGGGCAACCCAACUGGAAGAACAGCUGGCAACCUGCAGAAAAGUGGUCAGACUUGGGGUUCAGAGGAAAAGUCUCCUACAUGGGAAGACAGUCAAGCUAAAGCCAAACCACAGGGCUGGACUGAUGUGCCCAAAACUUCUCACGGAUGGUGCAAUGGACCUGGUGGAGAAAGCGGGCCUGGAGGAGAAUGGGGUGAACCUGGAGAUGGAAAGAAAAAUGGUCCCUCCAGCUCUACCUGGGAGGGAGAGGGUACCGGCUGGAACGAGAGCUCCAGAGGAUGGGGAAAGCCUACUCCAGGAGUAGGAGGAAACUGGGGAGAUGCACAACACUCCAGUGUGCCAUCACAAGGAUGGAAUAACAAGCCCCAGGAGGGCACCAAUGGCAAUAGUGGCAGUGGAAGCAUGGGUUCUUGGGGAGGUCCUAACUCUGUAAAGCAGAGUGGCUCUGGAUGGGGAGGAGGAAAUGGUGGAGGUGCUAAACCUGACCACAUUGGAGAGCCCACUGGAUGGGAGGAGCCCUCUCCACACUCCAUCCGACGUAAGAUGGAGAUCGAUGACGGUACCUCAGCUUGGGGUGAUCCAAGCAGUUACAACAAGACAGUCAAUCUCUGGGACAGGAAUAACCCUGGGACACAAGGCAAACCAGGACCUGGCAAUGCCAACAAUGUACCCAACAACCAUCAUCAUCAUCCCCACCAUAACCAGCCUCCCAUGCAGACCCACAGCCAUGGAGGGCCAAAUUCAAACAAUAAUCACAUUUCCCCUGAUAACGCUGGCCCACAUCAAACAGGACCACCUCACAAUAGAACAACCCUUAUGAAUCCAGGAUGGGGCGAGAUGACAAAUGUCCAUUCAAAACCUGAGCCCUCAUGGGGAGAGUCAGCCGCCCCUGCAGCAAGUGUGGACAAUGGCACUUCAGCAUGGGGUAAACCCCAAGGUGGCUGGGGUGAUAAUGGCCCUGAGAUCUAUGGUCGAGGCAAUGGACCCCCUGGAUCUGCCCCCUGCAAACCUGCCCCUAAAUCUAUGCAAGAUGGCUGGGGUGGUGGAGAGGACAUGGGCCUGUCUGCAGGGCAGUGGGAGCAGGAUGAGGGUGACAUGUGGAACAGCACUGCAUCUCAAGAGAGCAACUCCUCCUGCAGCUCCUGGGGCAACCCACCCAAAAAGGGCCCACCAAAGGGAAAAGUCCCAAACAAACCGGAUGAUACUUGGAUAAUGAAUCGUCUCAUCAAGCAGCUGACUGACAUGGGCUUCCCUAGAGACCCUGCAGAAGAGGCUCUCAAGAGCAACAACAUGAACUUGGAUCAGGCCAUGAGUGCCCUGUUGGAGAAGAAGACCGAACUAGAUAAACGGGGGAUGGGAAUCUCUGACUAUAACAAUGGCCUAAUCAAUAAACCAAUGGGCUGCAGGCCUUCAGUCAUCUCCAAAGAAUCCUCCUCAGAUCGUCCCCCCUUCUUGGACAAGGAUGCUGGGCUAGCAGAUGAUGCCCAAACCUCACCGUUUAUGCCUUCUCCGAGCCUGAAGCUCCCAUUGGGUAGUGCUGCACUCCCUGGCCAGAGCCUUGGAGUUGCGAUGCAAAACUUGAACAACAGACAGAUGCAGAGUGGAGUGUUUGGUAGUAGCGGAGCAGCACAAGCCCGGGCCCUGCAGCAGCAGCCCCUUCCCCAGCCGUCAGUGCCACCUCUCAACUCAUCCCAGCCUAGUCUACGCGCUCAAGUGCCUCAGUUUUUCAGCCCUCAGGUUCAAGCACAGCUUUUACAGUUUGCAGCAAAAAACAUUGGUCUCAACCCUGCACUUUUAACCUCACCAAUUAACCCUCAGCAUAUGACCCUGUUGAACCAACUUUAUCAGCUGCAACUGGCGUACCAGCGUUUACAAAUUCAGCAGCAGAUGUUGCAGGCACAGCGCAGUGUUUCUGGCCCCAUCCGACAGCAAGAGCAGCAAGUUGCACGUACAAUCAAUAACAUGCAGCAACAGAUCCAGCAGCACCAGAGGCAGCUGGCUCAGGCUCUGCUGAUGAAACAACAACAGCAGCAGCAGCAGCAGCCACCCUCCUCACACCUGGGUCUGCAUCCCAGCGCAGGCAAAUCAUCUCUGGACUCAUUUCCAGCCCAUCCCCAAGCCUCCAGCCUCUCUGUUUCCGACCUUCAGACCAAAGAGCCGCAGUCUUCUCCAAACUCCUUCUCACCAUACCCUGUUUCUGGAUUAAACCCUAACAUGAAUGUAAACUGCAUGGAGGUGGGUGGCCUGUCCAUGAAGGACUCUCCUCAGCCUCAGUCACGCCUGUCACAGUGGACACACCCACACUCCAUGGAGAACCUCUCUGGCAACUCCUCUCCAAUGGAGGCCAACUUCAGCAAGCAUGGUGCCAUCUCUGCAGGCCCUAGUCUGGGUCCCCCAAGUAAGCCCUCUCUGGAUGGUUCCUACAGUCCCUACAAUCUGAUUCCCAGCUCCGAGUCUCCUGCCAGCCCCCUGGCACCUCAUGAUAGCUGGGGUCAGGGGAAGAACACCAAUGACAAGAUCUCCAAUGGGACUAAUGUCAACUGGCCUCCAGAGUUUUGUCCAGGAGUGCCCUGGAAAGGCCUGCAGAAUAUUGACCCUGAGACUGACCCCAAUGUGACCCCAGGGAGCGUUCCCAGUGGGCCCACCAUCAAUACCAACAUUCAGGAUGUGAACCGCUACCUGCUGAGAGACAGAAGUGGAGGUUCCACCCCAACUUCCUCACAGGGUGAGGCUCUGCCUCCCUCCAGCGACUGGCCAGUCACUAGCUCUUUCAGUCUGUCCUCCCCCGAGGCAGACAGCACAGGUACAACUCCCAGAAACCCCUUCCUGCCCUCAGUCCUGCUCAUCACACUUUUUUCUUACUGCUUACUGUUCAACCUAGCAUGGGGCCCCAAAUGGUGGUCGCAUUCCUGUAUAUCUAGUGCAUCCAACUCAAAGGCCCUAUAUAUACACCUGGUAUUAACAUGCGUUUUCGUCGAUCCGCAAGUGGACAAAGGAGACACAUUAUCAUUUACCCCUGGCAUUUAAAUUAAUCUCUUUUGUCCAAUUUCGACCACUUCUGUCCUGAUUCCAUCGAGGGGAGGGUCUAUUGGGCAGGUCCCUCUGCUUUCGUUGGAACUACAGUGGGAGGGUUAAACGCACAGUCCAGCUAUUUGUGUUGUUAUCAAACCAAGAUGCUCCACAAUGUGCUGUGCAUGUUUAUGUAUGGGCUUUUUCAUUUAUUUCAAUCCAGCGGACAAAAUAAGCUCACACAACUGUUGUAUACUCGCAAAAUGAGACGUCGGAAAAAGACGAAGAGAGCAGCAGCUUUUGUUUCUGCAGUGUUAGCCACAAGACCUCGCCGAACGAUGUGGACUUGGGCCAGAAGUCAAGACUGGUGGAAGAAUAUUGUGCUCGGUAUGUUUACUGAUGACCAGUGGCUUGAACAUUUUUGUAUGCGAUGACACACAUUUAAUGUUCUGUGUGAGAAACUGCAGCUGCUAUUGUACUGAAGACAAAGUCAUUUACGUCUGACUGUUUCUAAAGAGCUGAGGAUUACAGUUACUCUUUGGUAUCUUGCGACUGGCACAUAUUUCCGAACUUUGGCCAAGUUGUUUGGUCUUGGCAAAGCCACUGUGCACCACAUUGUGUGGGAGGUGUGUGUAGCUACACAAAAUGCAAAGCCAGUUUAUUAAUUUGCCUAAAGGAGAGAAGCUUCAGGCAAUCGUUGAAGGCUUAAAGAACAGAUGGGGUUUUCCUCAGUGUGCAGGAGCAAUUGAUGGAUCACCUGUCACCUCUCCUUUUGAAGAUACUAAGGACUAUUUCAACAGAAAAGGGAGCUAUUCCAUCAUAUUACAGGCUGUCGUCGAUCACAAUUCACUGUUUGCCAAUAUCAGUGUGGGAUGACCUGGCAGUGCUACAGAACUCCACCCUGUUUCACCUUGCAGAGAAUGGCAAACUGUUUGCAGCAGACACACAGGAAAUUGAGGGUGUAAAUGUCCCCAGUAUGCUUCUUGGAGACCCAGCAUACCCACUCUUGAGCUGGUUGAUGAAGGGAUUUCCAGACACUGGUAAUCUGUCUAGAGAACAGAGGCAUUUCAGCUACCGUUUGAGCCAUGCACACAUGACUGUGGAAUGUGCAUUUGGGCAGCUGAAGGGAAGGUGAUGUUUGCUGCUGUGUCCUACACAACUUGUGUGCAUUGCACACUGACAGUUUUUUGGAUGCUUGGAUGCAGG